UGCAGUCGAACGAGAAAGCAGACUUCGGUCUGCAAGUACAGUGGCAGACGGGUGAGUAACACGUGGGUAAUCUGCCCGGAGGUGGGGGAUAACUUUCCGAAAGGAAAGCUAAUACCGCAUAAUAUCCGGUUCGCUUCGGCGAACCUGAUCAAAGUUGGCCUCUUCUUGAAAGCUAACGCCAUCGGAUGAGCUCGCGGCCCAUUAGCUUGUUGGUGAGGUAAAGGCUCACCAAGGCUACGAUGGGUAGCCGGCCUGAGAGGGCGAUCGGCCACACUGGAACUGAGACACGGUCCAGACUCCUACGGGAGGCAGCAGUGAGGAAUUUUGCGCAAUGGGGGAAACCCUGACGCAGCGACGCCGCGUGUAGGACGAAGGCCUUCGGGUCGUAAACUACUGUCAAGUGGGACGAAUGCCACGGGAGCUAAUAUCUCCUGUGGUUGACGGUACCACUGAAGGAAGCCCCGGCUAACUCCGUGCCAGCAGCCGCGGUAAUACGGAGGGGGCAAGCGUUGUUCGGAAUUAUUGGGCGUAAAGGGCGCGUAGGCGGCCAACUAAGUCAGGCGUGAAAUCCCGCGGCUCAACCGCGGAACUGCGCUUGAAACUAUUUGGCUUGAGUCCCGGAGAGGGUAGUGGAAUUCCUAGUGUAGCGGUGAAAUGCGUA
rnacentral:rRNA from 1 species